rnacentral:rRNA from 1 species
AUUGAACGCUGGCGGCAGGCUUAACACAUGCAAGUCGAGCGGAAACGAGAAUAGCUUGCUAUUCGGCGUCGAGCGGCGGACGGGUGAGUAAUGCUUGGGAAUAUGCCUAAUGGUGGGGGACAACAGUUGGAAACGACUGCUAAUACCGCAUAAUGUCUACGGACCAAAGGAGGGGAUUCUUCGGAACCUUUCGCCAUUUGAUUAGCCCAAGUGAGAUUAGCUAGUAGGUAAGGUAAUGGCUUACCUAGGCGACGAUCUCUAGCUGGUUUGAGAGGAUGAUCAGCCACACUGGGACUGAGACACGGCCCAGACUCCUACGGGAGGCAGCAGUGGGGAAUAUUGCACAAUGGGCGAAAGCCUGAUGCAGCCAUGCCGCGUGUGCGAAGAAGGCCUUCGGGUUGUAAAGCACUUUCAGCGAGGAGGAAAGGGUGUAGGUUAAUACUCUGCAUCUGUGACGUUACUCGCAGAAGAAGCACCGGCUAACUUCGUGCCAGCAGCCGCGGUAAUACGAGGGGUGCAAGCGUUAAUCGGAAUUACUGGGCGUAAAGCGUGCGUAGGUGGUUUGUUAAGCAAGAUGUGAAAGCCCCGGGCUCAACCUGGGAACUGCAUUUUGAACUGGCAAACUAGAGUUUUGUAGAGGGUAGUGGAAUUUCCAGUGUAGCGGUGAAAUGCGUAGAGAUUGGAAGGAACAUCAGUGGCGAAGGCGGCUACCUGGACAGAGACUGACACUGAGGCACGAAAGCGUGGGGAGCAAACAGGAUUAGAUACCCUGGUAGUCCACGCCGUAAACGAUGUCAACUAGCCGUCUGUAGACUUGAUCUGUGGGUGGCGUAGCUAACGCGCUAAGUUGACCGCCUGGGGAGUACGGCCGCAAGGUUAAAACUCAAAUGAAUUGACGGGGGCCCGCACAAGCGGUGGAGCAUGUGGUUUAAUUCGGUGCAACGCGAAGAACCUUACCAUCCCUUGACAUCCUACUAGGU